rnacentral:rRNA from 1 species
AUUGAACGCUGGCGGCAAGCCUAACACAUGCAAGUCGAACGAGUGGCGGACGGGUGAGUAAUGUCUGGGAAACUGCAUGAUGGAGGGGGAUAACUACUGGAAACGGUAGCUAAUACCGCAUACCAUCGGAUGUGCCCAGAUGGGAUUAGCUAGUAGGGGGGGUAAAGGCUCACCUAGGAGACGAUCCCUAGCUGGUCUGAGCGGAUGAACAGCCACCCUGGAACUGAGACACGGUCUAGACUCCUACGGGUGGCAGCAGGGGGGAAUAUUGCACAAUUGGCGCAAGCCUGAUGCAGCCAUGCCGCGUGUAUGAAGAAGGCCUUCGGGUUGUAAAGUACUUUCAGCGGGGAGGCGUUACCCGCAGAAGAAGCACCGGCUAACUCCGUGCCAGCAGCCGCGGUAAUUC